UAUGUUGCCUCGGCGGGCCCCGCGCCCGCCGACGGCCCCCCUGAACGCUGUCUGAAGUUGCAGUCUGAGACCUAUAACGAAAUUAGUUAAAACUUUCAACAACGGAUCUCUUGGUUCCGGCAUCGAUGAAGAACGCAGCGAAAUGCGAUAACUAAUGUGAAUUGCAGAAUUCAGUGAAUCAUCGAGUCUUUGAACGCACAUUGCGCCCUCUGGUAUUCCGGAGGGCAUGCCUGUCCGAGCGUCAUUGCUGCCCUCAAGCCCGGCUUGUGUGUUGGGCCCCGUCCCCCCCGCCGGGGGGACGGGCCCGAAAGGCAGCGGCGGCACCGCGUCCGGUCCUCGAGCGUAUGGGGCUUCGUCACCCGCUCUAGUAGGCCCGGCCGGCGCCAGCCGACCCCCAACCUUUAAUUAUCUCAGGUUGACCUCGGAUCAGGUAGGGAUACCCGCUGAACUUAAGCAUAUCAAUAA
rnacentral:rRNA from 1 species